GACCGACCUUCAGCGGGGCUGUGGCUACCAUGUUCUCUCGCGCGGGUGUCGCUGGGCUGUCGGCCUGGACCUUGCAGCCGCAAUGGAUUCAAGUUCGAAAUAUGGCAACUUUGAAAGAUAGGAUUAAUGAAAAUCAAGUUCCAUCCUCAGACAAGAGGUAAAGAAGGAAAAUUCAGCCAGUUGAUUUUGUUUUUAGCUUACUGCUGCCUUUGUCCGAAGAAACUGUUCCUCCAUUAUUUGAAUUACUGAAGACAGCAAGAUAUUUGUAAAUUAUCUUAAAAUAAACAACUUA
rnacentral:sRNA from 1 species